rnacentral:tRNA from 1 species
GGUUUCAUAGUGUAGCGGUUAGCACGUCUGCUUUACAUGUGGAAGGUCCUGGGUCCACACCCAGUGGAGCCA